rnacentral:rRNA from 1 species
CGGACGGGUGAGUAACACGUGAGCAACCUGCCUUCGAGAGGAGAAUAACGGCUGGAAACGGUCGCUAAUACCGCAUAACAUACCGGGAGGACAUCCUGCUGGUAUCAAAGAUUUUAUCGCUCGAAGAUGGGCUCGCGUCCGAUUAGGUAGUUGGUGAGGUAACGGCUCACCAAGCCGACGAUCGGUAGCCGGACUGAGAGGUUGAACGGCCACAUUGGGACUGAGACACGGCCCAGACUCCUACGGAAGGCAGCAG